UACAGAGGUGGCAAGCGUUGUCCGGAAUCAUUGGGCGUAAAGAGCGUGUAGGCGGUUCGGUAAGUCGGCUGUGAAAGUCCAGGGCUCAACCCUGGGAUGCCGGUCGAUACUGCCGGACUAGAGUUCGGAAGAGGCGAGUGGAAUUCCCGGUGUAGCGGUGAAAUGCGCAGAUAUCGGGAGGAACACCUAUGGCGAAGGCAGCUCGCUGGGACGUUACUGACGCUGAGACGCGAAAGCGUGGGGAGCAAACAGG
rnacentral:rRNA from 1 species